UAUGGCGAAAUCUGGGAAUGAUUCUCGCACUGGUGCYUUUUCCAACGGGUCCUAAACCUUACGCUUUGGAUAGAGUGGAGCURCUGCUGCGUACGGAGACUGGAUAGAAAUCACAACAUUCACGAGGGUGUUUGUUCAGGUUGAAUUCAUGGGAGUGGAGAAGCAAGCCAACUGCAACCACCUGAAAGCUGUGUUGUCUAGAAUGAGCCCUUGAGACGCUCCCUCCUCCUCCUCCCUCAUCAUAUUGUCCCUUGCAGUGUUCAUCCAGCCGGACAGUUGAUGGUGUUCACCUUACACCCCCCCAGAGGAGUACUGAGGCCGUCUUCCUCAUCCUCUUCAUCCGUCUUCUCAGGAAUGGUACCCCAACAAUGGAUUCCUACAGUCGCCUAGCUACCCAGGCCUUAUGACUCCCAAGUGGYGUAGCUGUCUAAGGCACAGUGUCUCAGUGCUAGAGGCGUUACUACAGACACCCAGGUUCAAAUCCAGACUGCGUUUCUAUCAAAGUAAGUGCCGUAUUACGUUAUAAUAGUUUCUGUAUGUCAUGUUAUACCGUUUCUACUAUAGCUCACUGUGUGUAUGAAGCAUCAUAUAUUUGUGUGUAUUUCUUAUAACCGCGGUAACCAAGGUAACGUUACUCAUUUCAUAACCUU